rnacentral:lncRNA from 1 species
CGGUGCCAGUCUGGUCUUAUAAUAUGACCCCGUGAGUCUGCAAAGAGCGCUCUGGCGACAAAAAGCUGCACAGCAGCCAUGGAAAGACUGAAGUUUGGUGCCAGUUUUGGCUCUGCCGUUAAUUCAUUCAGGACAACCUCGACACUGGUCUGGAGAGAAAGCUGGAUCCUGUGCAAAUAACUAGAGCGCAGCUAAGGGGAAGUAAAACGUGCUACUGAGGCAGGAAACGUCGGCACGUCACACAGCCUAUGCUGGACAGUCAAGGAGGGAUGUGUGAAAAGAAGCUUGUGUCUCCAGUAAAUGCAACCCAACAAGGUGGAAACCACUACCAUCACUGUUUUACUGAUGAAGAAAAACUGGGGUUCUAGGAGGACAAAUAGCUCGGUGAAGCCUGGGGAGCAGCGGUCCCAAAGCUCUGAUUCCUACACGUUUUCCUGCUGAGUCACACCGGCUGCUGAGACGUCGCCAGAGGACCUGACAGCCCCUUUAGGACUUGGACUCUAUUCUGCAUUGCUGGACGAUAAGCAGCUUUUUUCGUAUCAGUUCUUAAGAAAUGUGCAGCUUACACUGAUUAAAGGUAGGAUACACAUUUGGAAUUGAGGGCAAAACAGAAGAAUCGACUUCUUCUGAUUUCUAAUCACUGCUGGUCAAUGGAGUGCAUCCUUUCUCGGAUCAAGUCUCAGGCAGUCCUGUUCCACGGGUGGCAGUACCUACAGUUUUCUCACGUUCCUCUGCCUCCCUCUAGUGACGCGAGGAAGCCAGGGACAUCGUGAGCACUGUGCAGCCCCGAGGGUGGCUCUCAUACCUAAAGUGAUCACUCACCUCCGUGCCGGAACAUCUAGUUUCCAGCAAUUUGCAGACGGUAAACACCCAGAGGUCGCUGCUCAGAGGCAACUGUUGAAACUCUCGGAGGAGUUUUUCCAGCACAAUAGACAGUAUUGUGUAGAGCACAGCUUCUGGGGAAGACUGUUUGGAUUAAUAUCCUGGCUCUGUGACUUACUGCUGUGUACUGAGUUCAUUUUCUCCAGCCGUGCUUCAGUUUUCUUGUCUCUAAGCAUUGUAGGCGGCAUCAUCCACUCCACAGGCAGAGGAAGGGCGAGUUUGCACUCUCUCUGCUUGAGCUGGGCUGUCCAUCUUCUCCUGCCCUGGGACAUCCGCACUCCUUGUUCUUGGACCUUUGGACUUGGACUAGUGCUUAUGCCAUCAGCUCCUCUGGUCCUCAGGGCUUCAAGCUUGGACUGAAACUACACCACUGGGUCUCUUGCACAUGGCGGAUCCUGGAACUUCUCAGCUUCCACAAUCUCGUCUAAUGGUGAUAUGUUCAUCCUGAAGGCCAACUCUGUGAGGCACUAAGGAAUUCAUGCAUCAUUAUUAGAAUGGCUAUUCCUGCAUCGCUGCUAAGGCAGGGAUUGUCUCUGUCAGAGAGUGUAAGGAGGAUCUGGAGUCUCAGUCUUCAUGGUGUUUCCCAAGUACUGGAAAAAUGCUUAAUGGGCAAAAAGAUGGGAGCAAAUGGCUAAGAGGGAAUUUUGGGAUCAUAUCAACAUCUUAGUUAUGCUGUUCAUAUCGUCUUUACAGCAUCAUUGAUUAUCAACAGUAGGCCUUUUUGGAGAAAAGGAAGAGGAACGAGGUCUUAAAAAUGGUACUUCUUCAUAUUUCAUUUGUGCAUCGACCAC